rnacentral:rRNA from 1 species
GAAUAUUGUACAAUGGAGGAAACUCUGAUGCAGCAACGCCGCGUGGAGGAUGACGCAUCUCGGUGUGUAAACUCCUUUUAUGAGUCAAGAAAAUGACGGUAGCUCAUGAAUAAGCACCGGCUAACUCCGUGCCAGCAGCCGCGGUAAUACGGGGGGUGCAAGCGUUACUCGGAAUCACUGGGCGUAAAGGACGCGUAGGCGGUCUAGCAAGUCAGGUGUGAAAGCCUAUGGCUCAACCAUAGAAUUGCACUUGAAACUGUUAGACUAGAGUAUGGGAGGGGCAGAUGGAAUUAGUGGUGUAGGGGUAAAAUCCGUAGAUAUCACUAGGAAUACCAAAAGCGAAGGCGAUCUGCUGGAACAUUACUGACGCUAAGGCGUGAAAGCGUGGGGAGCAAACAG